rnacentral:rRNA from 1 species
UACGGGGGGGGCAAGCGUUGUUCGGAAUUACUGGGCGUAAAGGGCUCGUAGGCGGCCAACUAAGUCGGACGUGAAAUCCCUCGGCUUAACCGGGGAACUGCGUCCGAUACUGGAUGGCUUGAGUUUGGGAGAGGGAUGCGGAAUUCCAGGUGUAGCGGUGAAAUGCGUAGAUAUCGGGAGGAAUACCAGUGGCGAAGGCGGCUUCCUGGCCUGUUCUUGACGCUGAGGCGCGAAAGCUAGGGUAGCAAACGGG